rnacentral:lncRNA from 1 species
UCAUGUUCUUAAUCAUUUGAUUUCUUACUACUUACAUUAUGCAGGAAUGACCUGAAGGGAGUUACCACCAUGGGCACAUAGACCAUGAUCCCCUGUAUGUCAGGAUAUAGCAAAAGAAGGUAGGAAACUCAAAAGAUGGGAGCUAAAGCUACAUCAUUAGUAAAAAUGUACCCAUUUUUCUAUCAGGGAUAACAAAUUCUCUUGAGUUGCUUUGUUUGGAAUGAUAUUGAUAGAAGCUUGGUGAAAAUAUCAUGUUCUCUAGUUGUGGUGCAGAAUAUUAAUCAAAGAUUUUGACUUGCAGAUGUUCAAGAUGUAGGAUGUUCUCCAAUGAGAUAAGAUUGAAGGCUUUGAUGACAAGUAAGAGAACGAUGAAACGAUCUUGGUGGAAGGCUGUGAGGAUGGGUUUGUAGUUUUCCACUAGAAGGAACCAAUGUAGAUGAUGUAUUGCAGAAAACAAAGCGAGGAAAUUUUACUCUCAGCCAAUGAACUAUAAUGUUUGCUCUGUUUAAUUAGUUACAUUAGUUUUUAGGAAACUUGGGUGGUCACUAGUUCAUAACAGAUGAACUAUUUGUAUGUGAAAAUUAAUGAAUAUAUGAGACUAUUGUUUUGUU